GGGGACGGGAGCGGGAGAGCAGGCUCGACUGGGAGGCGUGGGGACGGCGGCGCAGCGGUGGGAGGCGUGCCCGGCGGGAGCGGAGCGGUUCUGAGCGGGCUGCUCGGCGCGGGGAGCGGAGCCGCUGACAGCGAGCCGGGACCGCCCCGGGCCGGGACCGGCUCUCCCGGAAAGAAAAGCGGCGGCACAAACCGGAGCGACGGCAUGAAGGCGGUUUCCGAGCGGGGCCGCAGACCGACGAGCCGCCCCCAGCGCCGUGCGCCCGAGGAGGAGCCCCGCCCCGCGCGCUCCGCCAAUCGCGGCGCUCCAGCGCGGCCCGAGCGCGAAGCACUGUGGGACGGCGGCGGGAAGCGGAGCUCGGCGGGUUGCCGGGCAACGGCGGAGCGCGGCGGGAGCGCCUGGGCCGGCUGGGAGCUCUGCGGCCGGGACGGCAGCGCGGCGCUCGUGUGACACGGGGCGGGCAGCGGGCGGGCCGGCCCGAAGGGGGGCUCCAGGCCGCAGGCGGAGCGCCGGGAGAGCAAAGCGGCGGUAAAGGGGGGCGGGCAGCGGGAGCCGCGACUCGUCCUCAGCGCUCCUCUUCCCCUCCGUCUGAGGGCUCAGCCUUAUUAGCCAGCAAGGCACCGAGCGCCGCAGCGCCUCCCGUCAGAGCGCCUUCCAGUAGCUGGCCUGGAUGAUGGUUCGCCGGUAGCUGGCAAACUGUCUGGAAGCAAGAGGGAUUAUUGGAGCAGGGGGUGAGGUGGGGCGGCGGCGCUGCUCGUUUGGGUGCAGGAGGAGCCCCUGCACUGCCCUGCCCUGCACUGCCCCACGGCCACCGGCAGAGUGGUGUGCUGUGGUGGCCCACACUGCUGCCCCAUUGCACCCAGACGUCAAAGGCUCUGUAUGCUGCUGCUAAUCCAAUGAGCUUCCCAGUCCUUCGAUUCAGGCAGGAUUUAAACCAGUAACCUACAAGUGAAAGGCCCAGAAUCGUCUUCCCGGUCCCUUGAUCUCCCUGUCCCCUGGCAGCUGUGCUGGAAUAACUCCCGGCUGGGAAUUAGUCCCACCUGGUGUGCAGCCCUGCUGAUCCACAUGUGGGACAUGUGUUUUGAACGUUAGCCAUUUCCUGCAGGGAAAAGAGAUCAGGACUCAGGAUAUCUAAAAAGAGCGAUGGAGACGUGGGGCAGAAAGAGACCUCGUGGCUGCAGCAGAGAAGAGAGAUCUGAGAAGUCAGUAUGAGCAGCACUGCCCGGGUCAGAUCGAAGCCAACUGCACGGGUCUGGUGUGCCUGGAGGGACCCGCUCUGCCUCGUUGUCUGGAGCUAUGUGGAAGGCUCCCCGAUAGGGGGUUGAAGAUGAGAGCAAAAGGAUUAUCUCUGGAAUUAGAUUAUUUAAAUUGGAGCUUUAAUCUCUGGCCCUGCCAGCACAAGAAAAUAAGAAAACUCCUUGGGAUUAUUUGGGUUUUCUUAUGCAAACAAAACCAGCAGGAGCUUGUGGUAGAAGGACUAAAAGGAAUGCUUGGAGACCUGCCCUGUCUGACCUGUUUGAUGUAUCACGGUAAGACCUGGAAGGAAAGAGCCAGAGGUCAUUUGGCAGAGGCUUAGCUUUCCUCAAAAGCAGCUGUGGCUCCAGGACUGCCAAUGGCCACCCCUACCCCCAUGCCAGCACCCCAGUGCUUAUGGGGAAGACAGAUACAGCCCUGCCAGGUUGCAGACACAGGAACCCACGUAAGUUAGCAGGUAACAUCCCCAGCCACUGUGACACUGUGCUUGGGGGCUAUCCUGUGCAGUGCAGAUCCCUACAGCCUUCAGAAAUGUUUAUUUUUUUUUUUUUAAAUAAAUUAAGGCUGUAUCCUGCAAUCUGCUGCUGUGAGCAGAGCAACCUGUUGGUUCAAGUGGCCACUGCUCCUCUUCCCACCAAUGCCUUUUGGGUUUCCGCAUGCCAGCUCCAGCACGGGGCUUGUGCUGGGUUGUUGCUGGUCCCUUCAGCCAGCCACUGUGGCACACAGGCUGCCAGCAAAUCCAUCCUCUCAGCAUACACAUGAAUGCUUCUCCCUCAGCGGGCUCCAAUGUAAGUAAAGCACAUCUGCGUGCAGACACAAGCCUGAAGAGGUCUGACUCCUCUGCAGUAUUAUCCUAAGCACGCACAUGGCACACCAGGACUCUGGACUCUGCUCAGUUUAUCACCCUUACCCUCCCCUAAGCCCAAUACAGCCGCUGUGCCAAUAAAUAAAGAGGUCUGUAAAUACACAUCUUCCAGCUUCUCAGCUCAGACACACAUUUCUAAGAUGACCAACUACAGUGAUAAACAGGCACAGAGUCUGCAUACACCCACUUGCAAAUAAACUUUUUUUGCUGCACUGCCAGGUACCUACUUGCAUUCCCUGUUUUGUGUGUGCACACAAACCUUGGCCAGUGCACGUGCUUGUGCAAACACUAUUACACACACAUACAAAAAGCACAGUUCUUCCACUGCUGGGAUAUCAGAUGUUACCGCAACUAUGCUUGUUGGCACAGCAACAGGAAAGCAGAAGAGAAAAUCCCCCUUUGGGAUGUGGGUUUGUGGACCCUGAUAAUUGGAGAGAGGACUUGGGAAGUGAGAGGUCUGUGAUGAAGCAAGCAGAAGGAUAUCAGUCCCUAAUCUCCAGUGUGGAGGAAGCAGGGAGCGGGGGAAAACAGCUCCCAGUUGCACUGAGAAACCUAUAGCAAUCAUGAUGCCUUUUGAAGCCAAGCAGGAAUUCGUCCUGGUGACUCAUGACAGAGCCUCUGCAUAGCGAAAAGGGAUAACUGCAGGUCCUGUGGGGCAGGAAGAGAGAGCGGGAGGUUGUGAGCAGCUUGGGGAAAGGAGGAGGACAAGGCCUGGUGUGUCUGCAAGCAGCAGGCAGGGUAUGGAAGCUGCUGCCGUGGUCACUGCGCAGACACGUGCAGGAUUCUCAAGGGUGAUCAAGCUGGAGAAUGGGGCCCCAGCACACAAGGAGUCCACGGGGUUCCUGGCCGAUCCUCAGCACCAACAGUUACAACACAGGCCCCACAGCACAGACCCUCACUGUGCAUAGGCUGACAGUCAGGUUUGAAAUGGUCCAAAAAUGGGAGGGCAGAUAUGGCUGCCUCACCUGGUGCCAUUCCUCCCGCUGCUCCUCACCCUGGGGCUGCAGGAGCUCUCAUUUGCCCCCUUGCAAGCAGGGUGGGGUGGAGGGGUGGGGGCCAGCAGCAGGGAGGGCAGAGCCCAGCUUCAGGCUUUGUGGCUGGCAGGGACUCCCUGUCCCACAGCCAGGACUGGCCCUGAACCCCAGUGCACAUGCCAGGGUGUGUAUCUGCCACAGCCCUUCCCCCCCAGCCCCACCACCGCCUCUCACACAGACAUCCAGGCUCCACAUCAUUUCAGCGUGCAUAUUUAUCGCUUUCCCCCCACAAGACAUGUAUUUGAAUUUACUUUUGGUAAACAUAACCACGGGAGAUGCAAAUUUGUGCCUAGGAAGCAUAAAUAACUCCACACAGAUAGACACACACACAUAGACAGCAAACACAGACAGGGUUCACCAAGGGAAACCAAGAAGUGCAGAGCACGCCCUGAGGCUGCUACCAGUUCCAAUGGCUUUGCUCUCAUCCACCAAGCCAAGAGGAGUUCUCCUACUCUUGCUUUGCAGCAGCUGGUGGGAGAAUAAAGCUGGGGAGGAGGAGUCUAAAGUUGCAAAUAACCCAUGAAAGCAUCAUGGCAAGUCCUGGCUCUGCAGUUUCCUGCAAUCAUCUCAAAGGAAUGGUUCCAGUUGUAGGAAGUUCUAAGUCUUUCACAGUGUGAAAGGGUGGAGGGGCAUGGGGACCACCGUGAGGGAGGAGCAGCAGGUCAUCUUGCAAUGUCCCAUUUGCAGCCAGCCGAUAAACCUUCUUGUGGGAACAUCGGGGCUAGAUGCUCCAUCUAGGUCCUCUUCUGCCUCUCUAAGGUGCUGAUUUUUCUUUAGCUGAGAAUAAUCUUCAACGGGACAUCAUGCGAACAAAUUCUGCAACCAACAAGAAAAGACAGCCCUGAAGCAGAAAGCAUCCAUGGUCCCCAACCCAGCUCUCAUUCCCUGGAGAUAUGCAGCCAUGGUGACAGUGGGGCUCCACACGCUGCCAGUAGGAGUGGAUCCAAAAAGAAUGAUAUUGUCAGUGACAGCCUGAAAUACCUUUUCCAAGAAACUUCCCCAGAAGCAGCACUUUAUGAGGCCUGACUCUCCAAGAUACCACAUACUUUCCUAGCAGAUAUUCCUAUGAAGAAGCAAUGAUUGGAGCAAUGUGAAACUCUUCUAUCAGCAACAUUGCUGAUCCAUUCAUUACAAGAAAGCAUGCUUUGACUGCAGAGGCUUUGAAGUAUCACGGACUGAUCUCUCUUAAACUGCACCCCCAAAAGAAACUGGAAGUAGUAAGUUUCCCCAUCUUUUACCCAUGCACUAUAUUCUACAGCCCUCACUGCGAGGAUGAGCUUCCUCAGAGCCAAACCACUGUGUCAUGCUCUACAGUACUUCCCGUGGGAGCUAGGUGUACAGCAGUUCUCUGACAGCCAAUCUCCCAUUACCUCACUUAUCCUCCUUGAGUGAAGAAGCUGCAUUACCUGUAAAUUCCUCUACAGUUGGCACUGUUGCAGUUUUACAUAUUAUUUCUUUUGCUAGGAUUGCCAGGAAUUAUUCCAGCAAUUUGCCCAAAUUAUUUUACCCCCUGGAGGCUGACCUGGAACGGCCAGCCAGCACAUUUGUACUGGACAGAGAGAAAGGUGACACAGAAGGAGCGACAAGUUUUACCUUCAAUUUCUUCUGGGCGCAGUUCUCUAUCCUGCAAAAAGAGAACAUGCUAUGUUAAAGUCAAUUGCUCGCCACAGACAAAAUUUCAGAACAGCACGUGUUGGGGCAAACAGUUUUGGGGACAAGCCAGAAAGCGAGAGAAGAAACAAGAAGGUGAUGACAUGUUUAAUACCAUCUACCUAGCUUUUCUGUGGAAGCCCCUCUCCAUCCCAUCUGCUGGACAGGGCCACGAAGGACAUUCCCCCAAACAGAAGAAACCUGGGCCAGCACGAGCCCUGUGUGUGGCAUCCCCACCUGACAGCGCUGUGUGUCACAGGGCUCGUUGCGUCAUUCCCCAGCACACGUUCUGGAGCACAGACCGGCCCUGCAGCUGCUCUAGAGCUCUGACUGUAUUUCCUACCUACUGCAGCUACUGUUGAAACAGCCAGAUCAAAAUAGCUGGAAGCUGCUCCUGCCACCAGAAGCUACAGCACUGUCUGCUUGGAUCCCUGCCUGAUCCCUGUCCUGCAAGCGGGACAAGGACAGCCAGGAGCUCUUCUCCAGCCAAUGCCCCCAUACCAUCUCCUACAGUCAGUCACCCCAGGAAGACAGGAGCUCUCCCCUUCCCCCCAGCCUCACACAAGCACUUUGGAACCAGGCAUGAAGGCAGACACACAACAUAUACAUCCUCAAGGUCAUCUACAAACAAAACAGGACAAGGAUUCACCAUGUUCAGGAAACACUGCAACAUCCAAUUUGAAUUUCUCGGAAGAAGGGGGAGGAUAUAAAAAAAGUAUAGGAAAAUUCCAACACUGCACCAAGAAGAAGAGACGAGCAUGGAAAUGCACUGCUUUCUGGUUUAAAUGCCCUUCCUAAUUCCUCUCAUGGCUCCCAGGCAAAUCCAAAACAUCAGAGAAUUUGGAAACACAGAAAUGCAAUCUCUUUUGUCGUCUGACUCUCGGCUUUUCCCCUCAGCCAUGGGGAGUUUCUCCUUGCCUUCCAGGUGUCCUGCAGUCUCACCACACGUCCCUGGAGACAGCGCCCUUGAACAGUUUGAGAAGGAUGAUCCUUUGCUAUGUAACCACAGGCUCCUCUGGAAACUAAUGGCGGCUGCUCAGAGUGCACAGCAAACUAGGACACACGCUGGUUUACGUCUAUGCAAAAGGGGCUGUGCCAGAGCAGUGACCAGCUUGCCGCUCUUAACCUUCCCAGAGGCAUCUCUGCGCUGGAUGGAGCUGUCAGAGCACGCUGGCUCUGCAGCUUCAUCCUUCACAGACCUGGUAUUUUCAAACAUGUCAUCCCAUUUGUUCUGCUUUCAUUAACACCAAGCAAUAAAGCAGUCCAACCCCCACGUACCGGAUGCAGGAGGCUUUAUUGCCCUCCCGCCUCAGAUAAAGCAGCAGAUGAGAACCGCCGUGGGCAGCACCGACACCUCAUUGCAAAGUGCCCCUCGUUGCAAAGAGUUCACAAACAUCGCUCCCCGGGGCUCCCACUGCGCUCCGUGCGGCAGCAGCUGCAGGGCUGUGGUUGCCACCAUGGCACCGACAGCUGCAGGACUGCUGUCUGGUGAGAGUGCCUGAGGACGGGCCCAGGCCUUCCUCCAGCGCAGCCAUCACAUGCCCGUCCUCCUCCCCACUCACCACGUUGCAAGCAACAUGACCGACACGUGUCAGAAAUGAGGGCUUCAGCUCUAAUUCCACACACCGAGGCAUUGGCGUUGGCGGGGCUCCGAGCAUAUCUUUGCACAUGCAGACUCUAUCACCAGAGAGCCACAGGCUGCGGAUGCAAGAGGAGGAGGAGGGCUUACGUCCCUCCAGAAAUGUGACUCAAGUGGUAACUAACGUCACAAAGAGGUUCGCUGGUUUAAAUUUGAGAAAGGAAUUUGAAGAAAAAAGUGACACAGGAGGAAAAUAGCUCGAGAAGAAAUGGGCUGAAUCACUCCAAGGCUUUUGGAGAACAUAUGGAAAGAGGAAUACAGCUGUUCAGAGUUUACAUCCUAGACAUGAGCAGAGGUGACCCUCAGAGAGCCCAUUUUACAUAAUGGUCUUACUCUCGUUUAUUUCUGUUCCAUGCACAAUAAAUCCUGUUGGUCUAGAGAGUCAGUAAAAAUAAAGCUGUUUAUCAGAUGCACUUAUACUACAAACAGGGCAGAGACAUCGCUAAUCCUGUUUUGGAAACGUCUCGGGCUAUGCUGAGUUUCUGGGGCUGAGCGUGGCUACCUGUCAGCGCGAGCCUUCUGCGAGGAGCUGGGACGUUUCCUACAGUGGGAGCUGUGUCCGUGCCACGGCCGGUCCGUGUGCUGGUGUCACACUGUCACACCUCGUGUCUUAAUGAGCUGCCUUAAGGAACGUGAUCACUUAGAGGCUGAAGAUUAAGGAGAACAAAAUCCCUUUGAUCAAUAAUGACUGACCGCAGCUCUUUUUUUGGGUUGCCGGUUGAAAAUGGAAAAUCUUUUGGCAAUAAAGAUCUAGCUGUGUCCUCCAGCUGUACAGAACGGUGUCAGUGCACAGCUGUGUGAGGCGCUUCCUAGAGGGGCAAGAAAGCUCUGUCAGGUAACCGGGCUGAGCUCUGUUUUACCAGAAGAACAUGAAAUGCACUGGAUUAGUGUGUAGCAUUGCACGUACCCACUCAUCAGAUUUCUUUGUGCAUGUCUUUAAAUGCACUUUUGUCAAAAUCAAACUUUAUGUGCAAAAAUACACAUUGCUUCUUGAAAAGAUACGAUACUGGUGUGCAUGUCCCUCUAUAUUUAACAUGUCCACGGGUAUACAUUUGAACUUACAUACAAGUAUACUUUUUCAUUGUUUAUAUGCAGAUACCCACGAAGACAGUCACAAAUAGGUGUGACUGAGUGGAUGGAUGUGUUUUUGCUAUUUAUCUGUGUGUACGGGCAACAGCGUUUGGCCGUCUGGCACUAUUUACCAACAUGAGGACACACUGAUGUUCUUUGGUUUCUUUGGCUGGGAAUGCUGCAGUGUCAGGCUGUGUGUAAAAGCCUAUGAGAGACUACAUUUGUGUUUCUGCAAGGAGGCAGAUGCACGCUCAUUUCUGCUUGUAUUAGCAUGCACACUGUGAGCUGACAGCAACAGUAACAAAUACGGGCAUCUCUGUGGGACAGCUUGUUCCCAAUAUGGAUGCCCUGAUUUGCAUGAAAGCGACUAUUUAGCCUUAAAUGCUAAUCUGAGCCUCUGGGAAUGUGAGGUGGAUGUCUUGCUGGAAGAACAGCUUUGAAUACUGGACUCCUCUGGAGUCCAUCUGAUCGUGUAAGUCCUAAGUUCUUCUAAAUCCAUGUAACUUCAUCUGCCCGAGUUUAGGCUUUGAUCUGUUUUUCACAGCUGCCCUUUUAGAAUCCCCCUUACUCG
rnacentral:lncRNA from 1 species